CCUACGGGAGGCAGCAGUGAGGAAUAUUGGUCAAUGGCCGCAAGCCUGAACCAGCCAAGUCGCGUGAAGGAUGAAGGAUCUACGGUUUGUAAACUUCUUUUAUAGGGGAAUAAAGGUAUCCACGUGUGGCUAUUUGCAUGUACCCUAUGAAUAAGCAUCGGCUAACUCCGUGCCAGCAGCCGCGGUAAUACGGAGGAUGCGAGCGUUAUCCGGAUUUAUUGGGUUUAAAGGGUGCGUAGGCUGGGAGGUAAGUCAGUGGUGAAAUGCUCCCGCUCAACGGGGUAAAGUGCCAUUGAUACUGGCAUGCUGGAGUGCAGAUGCGGUAGGAGGAAUGUGUGGUGUAGCGGUGAAAUGCAUAGAUAUCACGCAGAACGCCGAUUGCGAAGGCAGCUCACGAAUCCGCCAUUGACGCUGAUGCACGAAAGCGUGGGUAUCAAACAGGAUUAGAUACCCUAGUAGUC
rnacentral:rRNA from 1 species